UUAAACCUAUUUAGCGAGAGCGUGCUAUUAACUAACCUGACAUAUCAUAAUUAGUUAGCUUAUUUGGGACUGACUUUAAUGGAGAGACGGUCAUCCGCAAGGACGUCGACACCCCAUAACGGCCCACUUGUGGGAGUCGUCUUGUCCAUUAAAGCAAAUCGUCACCCAUUGCUGCUGACGGCGUCUUACCACAGCUGAUAGCCAACUAGCUGCAGCUAGCUAAUGCUAGCGGUAGUUAGCUGGCGAGCUAAUUUGCCAUCUUAGCGACUUCUUUAAUAAUAAUACGUUUGCUAAAAUCUGAACACUUGUCCCGACUGUCAGAACAUGCUGAACCGGGUCAUUACCAAUGACGGCACUUAAUGAGUUAGCGCGUGCUCAACCCCUCGUUUGUAUCAGUUGUGGUUAGUUAACACGGACAAGUUUGAUCGAGUUGUAACAUUAGCUACCUUCCUCUGCGGUGUCCAUCUUGGCUGGCUACUGGGGCGGCCCUGCUCCGCGCUCAGUCAGUAUAAAAGCGAUGACUGGCAGCCAUCUACGUGUACACAUUUCAAGUGGUUUUUAAAUGUCUUGGCGUCGUAGACCCACACGGUGUCUAUGCCCUCGCCGGCAGAAUGUUCAGGGACCCAAGUAGGGAAGGGAAAGCGGCAGGCCACCACCUUGGCUGUACACGGUAUCACUGACCUUCCACAGGUCUGAGAUAUGGAAGGAGGUGGAACGGUGGACUCCCUCUCUCAAGGCCAUGUAGCGAGAAUACCACACCAGCCAGGGGUUCAGCUCAAAGCCGGACGCUUGAAACCCGUGCUUGGCCGCUGCGAUCACCUGCAAAGAGGGAGGGAGUCGUGAAUAACCUGAAAUGGAACAAAGGGUAAGACAGCACACAUCACUUACUAUUCUCCCAUCCCCACUGCCAAUGUCCGCCAGGGUCCCUGAUCUGGCUCGCAGCACACCGAGGACGUUCUUCACCUGGGCUGUGGUCGCCGGG